GCGGACGUGGUGAAAUUGGCAAACACGCAGGUUUCAGGAGCCUGUGCCUAAAGGCUUGUGGGUUCAACUCCCACCGUCCGCA
rnacentral:tRNA from 1 species